rnacentral:rRNA from 1 species
UACGUAGGGGGCUAGCGUUGUCCGGAAUCAUUGGGCGUAAAGAGCUCGUAGGCGGCUUGUCGCGUCGACUGUGAAAACUCGGGGCUCAACUCCGAGCUUGCAGUCGAUACGGGCAGGCUAGAGUUCGGUAGGGGAGACUGGAAUUCCUGGUGUAGCGGUGGAAUGCGCAGAUAUCAGGAGGAACACCGGUGGCGAAGGCGGGUCUCUGGGCAGUAACUGACGCUGAGGAGCGAAAGCGUGGGGAGCGAACAGG